rnacentral:lncRNA from 1 species
GCCGGAUGCAGCAGUCUUUGCAACAAGCCAAAGGUCUCCACAGAGGGUGACUCCAGAGCAGAUGGAAUUUAUGAAAUAACUUUAUGAGACCUCAUGCCAGGCUGUGGCCUACAGUGCAGGCAAGAUGGCGCCCACCUGAGUUCCAGGGUGAGCUGGCCCAGCACCAAGAACCCGCAGGUACCUUUCAUUCCUUUGGCCCCA